rnacentral:tRNA from 2 species
GCGUCCUUAGCUCAGCUGGUUAGAGCACUACCUUGACAUGGUAGGGGUCGGUGGUUCGAGUCCACUAGGACGCA